CCCUCCGGCAAUGGGCAGAGAGACACCUUGGUGGUGGUGGUGCUCUUCUAUCAGUCAGCAGCAGAGCCGAUGGCAGUCCUUUGCUCAUCCUAGCUUGAUGCCUGGCUUGGGGGCCAAAGCUAUUUUUUGCCUAGGACUCAUGA